AUUUGAAAAUAAUUCCGUUGCGUUGCAGUUUAUUGAGCUAGCUCGAACGAGAAGUGCGACGAAGAAGGCCGUUAUUCGUUAAUAAUUCUUUUAAAGAAUACGGGUCAGAUAUGGACAACGACCUCGAAGACAUUUGCAGUAGGCUAAACAGAGAAAGAGAGGGAGAACCAAAACUACCUGUCCUGGCAUCACACUUGAGGAGGAGAUGAAGUCGGUGAAUAUGACCUAGCCCGGGGGAGUUUCCAGAAGAAGGCCCAGAACCGCCGACCGCCAGGAGUGGAGGUCCUUCGUUGUUGCCCUACGUGCCAGGCGGCAUCAGGCAGUAGAUGAUGUAAGUUGAAAUGGAAGGUGUCCUGAAUCUGCACCCAGUCAUCUGGUUUCGUAACACCUUUCAUAGCGCCAUUGGAACAUGCUCCCUACCAGUAUAACAUCGAACAUAUUGGAAGAAUAACGGCCAAUGGGAAGUGCCUUUUAUACCCCUACUUGCCACACAGCAGUCUGUGGUUUAGCGCAAUCUAAACUGGAUUAUUGUAGCUCUUCGUGCUUGAAUUAGGGCGAUCUGGACCGACUGCAGAUAGUACAGAAUGCUGCACCUAUUGUGCCAUUUGCCAUACACCCACUUCGCUGGCUGCAAGUCAAGGAAAGGAUGUACAUGAACAUCAGUGUCCGUCUACUGAUUUUCAAAGUCAAUGACAGGGAUCCAGAUUACAUGUAUUAAAAGGAAUGCCUUGUGCGUCAUUUUCGUUCUAGGCGCACUUGCCUUUUUAUUUUUGUGAUCCUUAGUCUACCAUGCACCUACAAAUUAGCUACUGGUGAUGAAACUUUCUCCACUACUGCUCCAAGGCCAUGGAAUUAGCUCCAUCCUCUCCUCCAAUUUUUAACAACCUUGGAUCAAUAUCAUUUGAGAAGACCUACCACAUUCCUGAUCAUCUUUGCUCUGGACUUGGAACAAUACUGUCACUGCCUGGUAAUUUGAAUUUUUUUAAAUCUCAUGUGCUGACUAGGAUGGCAUCUCAAAGUGCUUUGUAUCUUUGUAACCAUGGAUAUGGCCUUUGAUUACUUUUUAACAAAACUGAAAAAUUCAUCAAAAUAGGACAAGGGAUAAUAAAGUAAUGUAUGACAUUCUAAGCUCUGCAUUAUUUUGGUGAAAGACCUCUAAGCAUAUGCAAGUAGCCUGCUGAUGAUGUCAUACAGACGUACACGUACAUGUAUCCCCAACUUAUUAUUUUGUAUAUAAAAUUGUGUAUUUAAAUUGGAUUGUAAACUGCAUUGAUGUGACUUACCUGUAUUGAUUAUUGCUGGAAGUUCUUUUGCUACAUGGGAUUGGAAGACAUACUUAUUACACACAUGAAAUAAUUACUAUUUCAUCUGGUAACAGAACAAUAAAAAUGUGGGCAUGAUAUCAUAAACUUAUCUACUUGCAUGUGUUAAUUACCAAUAUUUUUGUAAUUAUUUCUUAUCUGAUUUUGAUAAAAUUUUCACUAUUUUGCAUGGUAAAUAUUACUUUAUUUGUCAUAGAUAUAAUUAUGCUGAGCCCGGAUAUACAAGUACCCCUUUAAAGAUAAAUUACAAGUUGUAGUAACAAUCUUAAAAUGAGUUCGAACAGAAUCCAAAUAUAGCUCGAGAAGAAAAUGCGUAAUUGCUGAGAAAUGAGCAAAAUAAGCAUGUAAAUCUAUCAAAUGUCAGGUAUUUUUCGAUCAAUUAUAUUACACUGUCCUGUCUCACAUAUGUUUUUCUGUGUUAGUGAUCAUCAGAAUUAUUGAUUUUAAAGAUAAAUUCCAGUUCUGGUAACGAUCUCAAAAUGACUUUUUACAGAAUCUAAUAUAAUGACCACCCAAGUGUCUGUAUGAAUAAAAAAUGUGUGCCAAAGGAUUCUGGAAGAAAUUGUGUAAUUGCUGAGAAAUAAGCAAAAUAAGCGCGGAUUCAGUCACUUCCGUCGGGUCUUUAUUCCAGAAAUAAUAAUACACUGUCCCACGUGUGCCUAUCUGUGUUGGUGAUCUUCAGUUUGAACCUUCUUAGCGUAGAUUUCAAGAUUUCACAAAGUUCAGUUUAUGUAACUGUACCAGAUCUAGAUCCUCGAUGAUAUACUGACAAUUAAGCCUGGUUUUACAGACUUUCUCAUGAAAUCAGUGUUUACUGCAACUACUGGCAUUUCUCUUUAAGUUCAAAAUUCAUGAUUUUACAAAGAUACAAGUUUACAUUAAUGUAACAGAUCUAGAUCAUGUACAAUAUUUUGACAAUUAACCUUAAUUUAAAAGACUUUCUCAAGAAAUAAUUAUUUGCUGCAACUACUGUCAUUUACCCCUAAGUGAUAAUGAAAACAAUCACAAACUUUUCAUAAGAAUUAAUGUACAUGUAUGAUUCUUAAACCCAAAUGCAAGCUUCCAUAAAUCCUGAAAUCAAUGCAACUCAGGUAUUUUUUUUUACAUACAUUAUAUUUUUACCUACAUUACAUAGAUCUCUAAUGUUUAAGGUAUAUUUAAUUACAAUUUCAACAAAAAAGCUAUAUUCUUGGAGAUCAUUAUUAUUCAUAAUGCCUCUGUUAUGUAUUAAUGUAUUAUGUAUUGGUAUAACAAACAUUGUAAUUAUUUCAUUCCUUUGACUCUUAAUACUGCAUUUUCAUAGAAAAGUGUUUUUUUUUUUAAUCUAUUUCUUUUCCUUUUUUUGCUGGUAAUAUCAUGUUAUGCAACUUUUAUUUAUUAAUAGAAUAUUUGUCAUGAUUUCCUACAUGUAAUUGAAAUGCGUACACGUAUUUGAUUUUGUUUUCCAUUUUUGUAUAUAUUCUUUUUCUGGGGGGGGGGGGGGGUCAUGUUCUUGAGACUGAGUCAAGUUAUGCAAGGCCCUGGAAUGGAGGAUCAUUAUAUUGUUACUGGGAAUGCUGGACAUUGUCAGACCACCUCAGUAUUCACCAACAAUAGAUAAUCCUCCAUGACAAGGUCUUUGAAGUGGUGUGUGUACAUUACAUGUAGAAUUUAAUUUAAAUGUUUAUGUCAUCACGUCAGAAUACGUUAAAAUAUCGUAGUUGACUCCAAAAGACGUCAUAUUCAUUUCAAUAUGCGACGUCAAUAUGACGUCUAUUACUAGUCUGCAAUAUGUUACAAAGUCGUCAUUCAGACGUCGUAGUCGACUUAUAAAGACGUCAUAAUUACAGCAAUAUGACGUCUGAAACUGGUCAGGAAUAGGUUACAAAGUUGUCAUUAAGACGUCGUAGUUGACUUUUGAAGACGUCAUGAUUACAUCAAUAUGACGUCUAAAACCGGUCAGGAAUAGGUUACACGGACGUCAUUACGACGUCGUAGUCGACUCUCGAAGACGUCAUAAUCACGUCAAUACACGACGUCAAGCUGACCCUUGAUACUGGUCAGGAAAACGUUGUAAAAACGUUGCAAAGACGUCAUUAAGACGUCGUAGUCAAUCUUGGAGACGUCAUAAUGACGUCAAUAUACGACGUCAUAAUGACGUUAUUCGCGGGUGCAAGAUCCCGUCAAUAAGACGUCCUGUUACGACGUCAAAAUGACGUGACACUCGUCGUUAAACUGACGUAAUUAUGACGUCAUUUUUACCAGUUUCUGCUAUCAGGGGGGGGGGGGUCGAUCAAGUAAGUUUGCUUGUCUAUCCAUGUCACCCUUGGUAUCCCCCAGCAAUAAGGGGAAAAUAAAUCGAGAGAGAAGGAAAAUAAUGGGAAGGGAAAGAGGAACUAAAACUAAGUCUAAGGGGAAAACAAAAAAUAAAGAUGGGGUAGAAUAGAGAGGCUGCAUGCACCUGGGGAUGCAAAUGUGUCGAUUAAUAUAGAAAAUAAAGAAGAAAAACAAGAAAAAAAAUGUAGUUCAAGACCAGAAUUUCCAGAAACGCCCUCGUCGAUCCUUUGCAGCUGGCAAGGCCUUUCACAGUAAGUACGAGAUAUGUCAUAGGCCUACCGUCACAUAACUAGAAGAAAUUGAAGAAGGAAAUACAAGCAUCAAAUGUGCCUAUUUAAAAAUACCAUACUAUUCUGAUGCGCAGAAUUAGUCGCGACGUCGGACUCCUUCUGUCAUGUCUGUGUAGUCUGCUUCCUUCAAUUUUGAACUUGAAGAAUCUGGCAGAAUUUGGACUGGAUAGUGGAUAUAGAUAAGUAAAUUCCAGAAUAUCUAGUGAUCUGGAACAGUACUUAUAAUAAGCUGUAUAUUUAGGACCUACAAUCUACAGUUGAAUUUUCUUUGCACUUGCAGAUAAUCGGUAACUGCAACCAUUGAUCCCCUCCGAAAGAUCACGGAGUCAGCUUCUGUGUGCGUACAGUCCGACAAUAGUAUAUUCGUG